UGGGGAAUAUUGCACAAUGGAGGGAACUCUGAUGCAGCGACGCCGCGUGAACGAAGAAGGCUUUCGAGUCGUAAAGUUCUUUUAUAUGGGAAGAUAAUGACGGUACCAUAAGAAAAAGCCCCGGCUAACUACGUGCCAGCAGCCGCGGUAAUACGUAGGGGGCUAGCGUUGUCCGGAAUCACGUGGCGUAAAGGGUUCGCAGGCGGAAAUGCAAGUCAGGUGUAAAAGGCAGUAGCUUAACUACUGUAAGCAUUUGAAACUGCAUAUCUUGAGAAGAGUAGAGGUAAGUGUAAUUUUUAGUGUAGCGGUGAAAUGCGUAGAUAUUAAAAAGAAUACCGGUGGCGAAGGCGGCGUACUGGGCUCAUUCUGACGCUGAGGAACGAAAGCGUGGGUAGCAAACAGG
rnacentral:rRNA from 1 species